rnacentral:rRNA from 1 species
UACGUAGGUGGCAAGCGUUGUCCGGAAUUAUUGGGCGUAAAGCGCGCGCAGGCGGCCUUUUAAGUCUGAUGUGAAAGCCCACGGCUCAACCGUGGAAGGUCAUUGGAAACUGAAAGGCUUGAGUACAGAAGAGGAAAGCGGAAUUCCACGUGUAGCGGUGAAAUGCGUAGAGAUGUGGAGGAACACCAGUGGCGAAGGCGCUUUCUGGCCGUGCUCUUGACGCUGAGGCACGAAAGCGUGGGGAGCAAACAGG